rnacentral:rRNA from 1 species
GACGAACGCUGGCGGCGUGCUUAACACAUGCAAGUCGAACGGAAAGGCCCUGCUUUUGUGGGGUGCUCGAGUGGCGAACGGGUGAGUAACACGUGAGUAACCUGCCCUUGACUUUGGGAUAACUUCAGGAAACUUGGGCUAAUACCGGAUAGGAGCUCCUGCUGCAUGGUGGGGGUUGGAAAGUUUCGGCGGUUGGGGAUGGACUCGCGGCUUAUCAGCUUGUUGGUGGGGUAGUGGCUUACCAAGGCUUUGACGGGUAGCCGGCCUGAGAGGGUGACCGGCCACAUUGGGACUGAGAUACGGCCCAGACUCCUACGGGAGGCAGCAGUGGGGAAUAUUGCACAAUGGGCGGAAGCCUGAUGCAGCAACGCCGCGUGCGGGAUGACGGCCUUCGGGUUGUAAACCGAUUUCGCCUGUGACGAAGCGUGAGUGACGGUAAUGGGUAAAGAAGCACCGGCUAACUACGUG